rnacentral:rRNA from 1 species
UACGUAGGCAGCAAGCGUUGUUCGGAGUUACUGGGCGUAAAGAGUGCGUAGGCGGUGCCCCAAGUCUGUUGUGAAAGCCCUCGGCUUAACCGAGGAAGUGCAUUCGAUACUGUGUCGCUUGAGUACCGGAGGGGAUGGCGGAAUUCCCGGUGUAGAGGUGAAAUGCGUAGAUAUCGGAAGGAACAUCAGUGGCGAAAGCGACUUCCUGGACCAAUACUGACGCUCAUGUGCGAAAGCGUGGGGAGCAAACAGG